rnacentral:rRNA from 1 species
UACAGAGGUCUCAAGCGUUGUUCGGAUUCAUUGGGCGUAAAGGGUGCGUAGGUGGCGCGCUAAGUCAGGUGUGAAAUUUCGGAGCUUAACUCCGAAACUGCAUUUGAUACUGGCGUGCUUGAGGACUGGAGAGGAGACUGGAAUUCACGGUGUAGCAGUGAAAUGCGUAGAUAUCGUGAGGAAGACCAGUGGCGAAGGCGGGUCUCUGGACAGUUCCUGACACUGAGCACGAAGGCCAGGGGAGCAAACGGG